GGCUAACGCUGGCGGCGUGUCUUAGCCAUGCAAGUCGAGCGGACUUAUGGGGUAACUUAUAAGUCAGCGGCGGACGGCGGAGUAACACGUAGCUAACCUACCCUCUGGACGGGGAUAACCUACCGAAAGGUGGGCUAAUACCCGAUGUAGUCAUCCUGUAUAGGGGUGAUGAAAGGUGGGGCUUCUGUUUACAAGCUCAUGCUGGAGGAGGGGGCUGCGGCCUAUCAGGUAGUUGGUAGGGUAAUAGCCUACCAAGCCGAUGACGGGUAGCCGGCCUGAGAGGGUGACCGGCCCGAGGGGCACUGAGAUACGGGUCCCACUCCUACGGGAGGCAGCAGGCUAGAAAUUUGGGCAAUGGGGGAAACCCUGACCCAGUGACACCGCGUGCAGGAAGGAGCCCUUCGGGGUGUAAACUGCUGUCGUGUAGGGAGAAGGGUACUAAGGUGAACAAUCUUAGUACUUGACGGUACUACAGGAGGAAGCCCAGGCUAACCUCGUGCCAGCAGCCGUGGUAAUCAUACUCGUA
rnacentral:rRNA from 1 species